ensembl:lncRNA
GUGGCCGUAGGAGCACAGGACACAGGUAUGUAUCCUGGAAACUGUCUCUUGCUGAGAAAAAUGUUUAGAUGGUGAUGCAGGUGGGGCAUUGUUGUUGACUUCAGUCUGGAGAGCGACCCUAAUUCCAGAGGCCUGGGGGGACUGGUGCUUGUGAGUGGGGGGAAGGACCUACGUCCCAGGUGAAAAAACUAUGUGAUACUUCCACAGUAGGAGAAAGAUAAUGUAUUCCUCCAGUGUGGUGUGUUUUUGUGGGCAUGAGAACUGGGGUGGUUCUGUGUGUGUGUGUUUUCUUUUCUAACAUUCAGGUGGCCGUAGGAGCACAGGACACAGGUAUGUAUCCUGGAAACUGUCUCUUGCUGAGAAAAAUGUUUAGAUGGUGAUGCAGGUGGGGCAUUGUUGUUGACUUCAGUCUGGAGAGCGACCCUAAUUCCAGAGGCCUGGGGGGACUGGUGCUUGUGAGUGGGGGGAAGGACCUACGUCCCAGGUGAAAAAACUAUGUGAUACUUCCACAGUAGGAGAAAGAUAAUGUAUUCCUCCAGUGUGGUGUGUUUUUGUGGGCAUGAGAACUGGGGUGGUUCUGUGUGUGUGUGUCACGUGAUCGUGACUCUGAAUGUGUGUUGAGAGUGUUUUCUCGGGAGACACACAGACUAAGCCACACAAAAUGAGACAGACUCACUGCAAGAGAGACAGAGAGAGAAAGAUACAUGUGGGUUUGCCCAGAGAAUAGGUGUCACUGACACUGCACAAUGAUUCAUGUCUACAUUCUCACACACUCCUCCUACUGCACACCUCAAGGUAUACUGCUGUGCACGGCUCAGCAGUAUCAUGUAGUCCAUGCAGGUCACCAAAUCCUCAAUAUCCUCUGGCCCAUGUUCAUAUCAAGGAACAGUCCCUGAGGUAUACUGGAGCAGCACCAACAUGGUACUGACAGGGAUUGUGGUCUUUCUAGGUGUCCCCGAGGAGGAAAGACGGCGGCACCAUCCUGUCCGGAGUCACCAGGCUGUUGCUGAGGUAGCCGUAGGAGCACGAGAAGAAGGUGUCGCGAAGCUGAAAAAGCGGCGGCCCCUUCCUGACACGAGGCAGCAGGAUGGUGCUGAGGUGAGCUUCCUGUCUUUCCUUGACGAACACAAGUGCUUUCUUAGAGGCUUUCCAAUCAAUCUCUGUUGUACAUAUGACAGUCUACAUUUUCGAGGAUACUGUUACUUUCCCGGAUGGGGACAGUGGUGAGUGGUUGCCUCUUGCCAACGGUCACCUUGGUCAGGGGGACAUUUUCCACUGGCAGUGCCAAACCUGGUAACAAACAGUGUCCUAGGAUCUUUACCGUCAGCAGCCAUCUGUCCUGCUUGGGUGAAGAAUUUUGUAGUAGGCAUCCUCAGUGGUCCUGAGAGACACAUCCCCAGGAGAAACAACUUCUGACAGGCAUAUUAUCUUUGCUUUUGUGGCCUGUGACUCAACCGCUGUGUCCCAUCUUGUAUCGUAAAGACGCAAAGGGAACUGAAGAGUUGUGCCAAUAGUGUAUGUCAUGAUCUCACCCUGAUGGUGUUUUCUUUCCUAACAUUCAGGUGGCCGUAGGAGCACAGGACACAGGUAUGUAUCCUGGAAACUGUCUCUUGCUGAGAAAAAUGUUUAGAUGGUGAUGCAGGUGGGACAUUGUUGUUGACUUCAGUCUGGAGAGCGACCCUAAUUCCAGAGGCCUGGGGGGACUGGUGCUGGAGUGUGGGGGGGAAAGACCGCCAUCCCUGUGUGUGUGUGUGUGUGUGUGUGUGUGUGUGUGUGUGUGUGUGUGUGUGUGUGUGUGUGUGUGUGUGUGUGUGUGUGUGUGUGUGUGUGUGUGUGUGUGUGUGUGUGUGUGUGUGUGUGUGUGUGUGUGUGUGUGUGUGUGUGUGUGUGUGUGUGUGU